rnacentral:tRNA from 2 species
UACCCCGUGGUGUAACGGUAACACUAGAGAUUCUGGUUCUCUCAUUCAUGGUUCGAAUCCAUGCGGGGUAACCA